GCCGAGGUGGCGGAAUUGGUAGACGCGCAUGGUUCAGGUCCAUGUAGGGGAAACCCUGUGGAGGUUCAAGUCCUCUCCUCGGCACCA
rnacentral:tRNA from 1 species